UGAAUCAUGUGUAAAAAUGCAGAAGUGACUGCUUUUUCAUGCUAAUACAUUCAUGAAAUUGUUUUACACAUGAAUGCAUCUGAUAAUGGAAGAUUCUUGUAGUCUAGGAUAAGUUAAGAUAGCACUUUUUCUUUUCAGAUUUAGUUUAGCGCCUGAAGGAAUGCGUUAGUUCACAGGUUGUGAAAUCUAAGGACACUUGAUGCAGUUUGGGAGACACCUAUGAUCUGCAGUGGUAUGUGUCGGUUUGCAUGUACACGUCUGUUUGACGUGCAUGCGAUCCAGUUCACGAUCCCUGGUAAGGAUGACAGAGAAUAAGAUCUAGAAAGCACAUGCAUCCUAAAAAAAAAAGUCUUAAGCUUGUUUUUGUGACCACCGAGUACCCAAAAUUAAAUUGGAGGCUGGUGACUUCUUAGCGGUCAUCGUCCUUGAAUGCACUACGUAACGCAUUUUUUAUUGAAAAACACUCAAGUAAUGACCUUUUUUGUGUGUUGAAUUCAUUUUUGUAUUCGU